CCGUAGAAGCUCGGAUGAAAUUCGAAAGGCGGUCAACCGCCGUAGAAACUUGGAUGGAGUCCGUCCGUCAUGGAGAUCUGCUGUUGGGAAAGUUUGGCCACUAACGAACUGACGAAGUUCUGGAAGAAAUUCGGAUUGGAGUCGAUCGAGUCCUGUUGGAAAAGAUCUGGAAGAGGUCCGGAGAAUGGUUGACCCUUGUAGGAGGUCG
rnacentral:lncRNA from 1 species